rnacentral:rRNA from 1 species
UACUUUGAGAAUUUGAUCCUGGUUCAGAUUGAACGCUGGCGGCGUGGAUGAGGCAUGCAAGUCGAACGAAGAUAUUCCAGCUUGCUGGAAGAUCUUAGUGGCGGAAGGGUUAGUAAUACAUGGAUAACUUGCCUCUAACUUGGGAAUAACGGUUGGAAACGGCCGCUAAUACCGAAUGUGGUGGUAUAGGGCAUCCUAUACUCAUUAAAGCGGGGGAUCGUAAGACCUCGCGGUUGGAGAGAGGUCCAUGGGAUAUCAGCUUGUUGGUGGGGUAAUGGCCCACCAAGG